UUUUUUUUAGGGCCGCACCUGCAGCACAUGGUAGUUCCCAGGCUAGGGGUCGAACUGGAGCUGCAGCUGCUGACCCAUGCCACAGCCACAGCCAUGAGGGAUCUGAGAUGUUGUCUGCAACUUACACCACAGCUCCUGGCAACAUGGAUCCUUAGUCACUGAGUGAGGCCAGGGAUUGAACCAGCAUCCUCAUGGAUACUAGCUGGGUUUAUUACCACUGAGCCAAAAGGGAACUCCCACUUUUCUUUUUUAAUGUUCUGUGAUCUGCUUACCUGAAAGUACCUAAAAUACUUUUGCAUUUUAUUGCUCAUAAUUGUUAUAUUUAUUCUUUGGUUUUCUGUUCAAAGUCUCCAGCAUUGCAUAAAUAUUUUGAUCUGUUUAUAAAAUAUAGCUCAAUUUUAUUUUAUAGCAUUUACCCACGUACACAAAUGAAUUAUCAAAAGCUAUGGGUAUACACGUAUUCAAAUAUGAUUAAAGACUAAACAGAUCUACUGUUUUACCAUUCAGUCCUCUGAUAAUUUUAGGAAUAGUGCAAAAUAAUAAAAAUCACAACAUAGAUGUAUAAACACUGUAAUCAAGGCAAAGACAAGAAGAAAUAUACCUUUUCUCUCCAUUGCUGAGACCAGAAGGCAGCUGAAGGUAGAGGUAGAGUUUCUCUAAGUCUGUAAACUUCUCAACUUCUUGCUGGUUAAAAAGGAUUAAAAAGAAAGAUCAUUAAAAAAAUUGUUUUUCCCUCGACAAAAUUUACUAACACUUCCAUAAAAGUACUGUUUAAAUUAAAACCAGAUGGAAUUAAUCACCUGCCAAAGAAAACAAAAUCUAGGCCUUUUGUCUUCACUAAAAUAAUACCAUCAACUUGUUUGACACAUUUAUUGCAUAUGAAAGGUUGACGAAUAAGAGAAAAUUGUACUUUGCUAUUAAUUCUUAUAUUCUAGGUAUAAAUAUGAUCAUAGAUCAAUGCUGAGACAAAAACAUUUCAUUUCAAAUCACAUUUAAAGAAGGGUUGUACAAUAUUACAGGAAAUGUACUAGACUGGGAUUUAAGAGAUUAUUAGUCUUAGCCUAACCAUUUAACUGGUUACAGGGCUUUCAUGCUCUGGUAGAUUUUCCUUAUCUUUAGAAAUGUAAUGAAUGAGAUGAUUUCUAGGAUCUUUUUCUAACUCUCAAAAACCAAGAACAUGUGACUGAUGAUGCUGUUGUUAUCUAGGGAGUGGAACUGAAGUUUAAAAAUAUAGCUAUCCCUCCACAUCUAUGGGGAGUUGGUUUCAGGAACUGCCCACAGAUAACAAAAGCUGUGGAUGCGUAAAUUCUUGAAUUAAAACGGUGCCUGGGAGUUCCCUGGUAGCCUAAUGGUUAAGGACUCUGCAUUUUCACUGCUACAGCUCAGGUUACUGUUUGAUCCCUGGCCUGAAAACUUCCUCAUACCAUGAGCAUGACCAAAAAAUAAAUAAAAUGUUUGUAUAGUCAGACUUCCUUAUCUGCAGGUGCCUCCAUAACUGAGGAAUCUUAUUCAGUCCUGGGUUAGUUGAAUCUGGGAAUGCAGAACCCACGGAUUCAGAGGGCCAAGUGUAUUGAAGUACAAGCAACAAUCCUUUCCACACUAUGCAGUUGCAUAGUGUUGCAUAGUGUUGCAUAGUGUUGCAAGAAUUUUUUGAUCUGCAACAUUGGCUGCUAUCUGAAGAAACUACUUUGAGGAUUAUCAUUACUGUUCUUCAACUACGUCAUUUUGUCUCUAAGUGUACCCUUUAAAAUAAUUUCUUUCCCAACUGAGUUUGCCACAGGAUAGCUUUAAUUAAAUGUGCCACAAAUCUUACUGCAGUAAAAACAUCAUAAUAAAAUUCUGGUAGCCUAAUUCAUAACAACUGAAUUGCACUGCAUUGAAAAUGUGGACAUACUACUGGCAUUAUUGGUGGCAGAAUUUAUUCUUACAUGAUAAAAUAAAGCACAGCUUAAACACAGAUCCAAUUUUUACAAAAAGCUUAAAGUGAUAUAAUUUAACUAUUCUUAGUCUCACCAGAAUUCAUUCACAGAAUAGUUUAAUCUUAGAAGUUAUCCACAGAAUGAUUUAAUCUAUUAAUCACUAGUUUUAUUUUCUGCAAUGUUCUAUGAUGGCUUAUGAUAACUAU
rnacentral:lncRNA from 1 species